rnacentral:lncRNA from 1 species
AAAGUUCUGAUUCAGAGGAUGAUGUCGAAGACGAUGUCCCAAACAUCUCUCCUGCCAAAAAGCAAACUGUUAGAAAAUCUCCUGCCAAGGUUGUUGCUGUGCAUUUGGAUAACAUUUCCUUCCAUCUGGAAGAUGGUGCAGCCAAGUGGAAAUUUGUGAUACAGAGGAGAGUUGUUGUGGAAAGGGAGCUAGGGAAGGAGGUUGUGGAAGUAAAGGAGGUUAUGAAGUUGAUCAAGUCUGUUGGUCUAAUGAAAAC